rnacentral:rRNA from 1 species
ACAGAGGGGGCAAGCGUUGUUCGGAAUUACUGGGCGUAAAGGGUGCGCGGGCGGCCCCGCAUGUCAGGCGUGAAAUCCCCGAGCUCAACUUGGGAAUGGCGCUUGAAACUACGGGGCUGGAGUGUGGCAGAGGGAGGUGGAAUUCCACGUGUAGCGGUGAAAUGCGUAGAGAUGUGGAGGAACACCGAUGGCGAAGGCAGCCUCCUGGGCCAACACUGACGCUCAUGCACGAAAGCGUGGGGAGCAAACAGGA